rnacentral:rRNA from 1 species
GCGAACAGUACCGUGAGGGAAGAUGAAAAGAACUUUGAAAAGAGAGUCAAACAGUACGUGAAAUUGUUGAAAGGGAAACGAUUGAAGCCAGUCGUACCUACGGGUAAUCAACCUUUCGGGAGCGAUUCUGUGGGCUUUGAGGAGCUUAACGGCCUUCGUUGCUUCGCAUUCUGGCCCUUUGGUGGUGUUUUCCCCGUGGUGGGUUGUCAUCAUCUACUUUGAUCAUCAUAUGAUGAUCGGAAUAAUGCAUCUACAAUGUCUCAAGCUUUUUUUGAGCAUCGGAUUUGCGUUCUAAUUAAUACAUAUAGAGGCAUUUUAGAAUGAACAGUAAUUGUGCUUUAGACUGACCCUUAAAAACCUUGAUCUGAGUCGGUUCGGAAA